GGGGCGGCAGAGAGCAGAGGACGAGUGCUGGGGCCUCUGCUGCUCACACAUUCACCCCAGCCUCAGUUUCCCCUGAGCACCUGUGGGCCUAGAAACCUUCAAGCUGAGUGCAGGUGCGUGGCGCUGUGGGAGGACACGGGGCCCAUUGGCAGUGUGUUUGCACUUACUGAGGUGGGGUGGGGUGGGGAGGCAGAGAAUCCUCCAGGAGGGGGAAGGGUGGCCUGAGCUCCCGGGCUGCACCCUAGAGGAGCCCCAGGUGCCUCUAAAGUACUGACACGCUGAUCCACCCAGACCAGGAGUCAGAAGGUCAGGGGAAGGGCCCCCGGGUAGGUCUGUGUUAAAGUCUCCCCAGAUGAUUCUUCUCUUUAGCCAGGGCUGAGAUCCAUGGAGUCAGACACGCUGCUGUUUGAUUACCCGCCCCCCAUAGCUGUGGGACUGAGUACUGACCUACACCGUCUGUAGGAUGGUGAUAGUGCCAUGUGCUGACGUCGGGGGCUGCUGUCAGAAUCACGGGGAACGUUGUGUGUAAAGCCUGCACAUGGCUGCCACCUGCAAGGUUUCUGUACAGUCAGAUCCUUGGCCAACGGGCUCCGGACCUGGCAUCCGCGGAGCAGGAUCCUUGGGGACAUGCAACCUUUGGGGAGACAUUUUGUUUCUGGAAUCUGAGGCCUAGGGGAGGCUGACCUGGAAGGCCUGGAUCAAAUUGGUGUAGACACUGUCUUGUGCCAGAGCCUCAGAUCAGAGAUGAUGAUGAUGACGCCUGUGUCCCCGAAGGCGUUAACUUUGGUUAUGGUGUCUAGCUGGGGUAGCAUUUUAGCUGGACCUGGUGGAAGGGCAACAUUUGUGAAAUGUCUCCUGAGUGCUAGAUGUGUUCACAUUGAUUCAUUCAUACAAUUCUCAGAGCAGGCAUGUGUGAUGGAUACACGUAUCCUUUUUUUUACAGAGGGAGAAACUGGGGUCCAGGGAGGCCUAGCAGCCUGCUCAGAGUCACGCGGGAGAACCAGGGGAGGCCCACAGAGCUGACUGAGCCCACCUGUUGGAGCUGGACUGAGUUCCCCCAGCCUGGAGAGGUAGGGGCAGUUCGGGGCAGUUGGAUGGGGUGGGGCGGGGGUUGAACUCUGCAGCCCCUCUGGAGAGGGUGAUUCACCUGUGCCCGUUAGGAACUGCUGUUCCUACUGAGAGCGUGGGGCUCAACACAGGCUCCCAUCUGCCUCCUUACUUCCCAUUUGCCUACACUGAGGACACCGAGUCCCAAAGCAGCGGGUGUCUUCUUAGGGGUCAUAAGGCACAUUAGUGACCAAGGCGGGGGAGGGGGGAGGAUCCUGAGUACCAAACCACUGCUCUUCGCACACGGACAGGGCGGGGGUGGGAGGACGGGGAGGAGGAGAAAAACAGAAAACAGGAUGACCUCGGACGUCCAGAG
rnacentral:lncRNA from 1 species